AGUGUGCGUCAGGGCUCAGCACCACUGCCUAAAAGAUAUGCUGACUUCUAGCUCUGGGCAUGUGAAGAUAAGGCGUUGUCUGUCUCUCUCUGCUGGACGUUCUAUCUAAGCAGCGUGGAUGUUGACAAGGCUCCUGGAAGGACAAGAGAAGAUGUUCAUUGAGUCACUGUUACCAAAUAUUGGCCCCUGGAAAUCUCAUAGUGUAAUUAAAAAGAUGAAGAAGGAAACAGAUACUCUGUGGUGUCAUGGAGAAUUUGUUAAAGACUUUUAAUUGAGAGAUGCGGUCUUGCUGUGUUGUCUGGGCUGUUCUGGAACUUCUGGCCUCAAGCAAUUCUCCUGCCUCAGCCUCCUGAAGUGCUAAAUUACAGGAAGAAGAGCUGCCAGGUCCUGGGAGAACAAGAACAGUGCUUUCUCCAAAUUUUAACAGGAGUACACGAUAACAUCACUAUUGUAAAACCUCAGAUUGGUGCUCAAGAUAGUUUUCAGACCCUGCACUUGAUGGAUCAGCUGGCACUACUCAGAUCAACACACUGGCUCACCUGGUCUUGUGGCCCCCACCCAGGAAAUGACUCAGCACAAGAGGACAGCUUUGACUCCCUGUGAUUUCAUCUCAGACCCAACCAGUCAGCUCUCCCUACUACUUGGCCCCCUACCCACCAAAUUAUCCUUAAAAAACCCCAGCCUCUAAAUUUUGGGGGUGACUGUUUUGAGUAAUAAUAAAACUCUGGUAUCCCAUUGAGCCAGCUCUGCAUGAAUUAGUUAACUGUUUCUCUCUUGCAGUUCCUCUGUCUUGAUAAAUCAGCCUGUCUGGGCAGUGGGCAAAAUGAACCCCCAACAGGAGGAUUUCAAAUGUAAAG
rnacentral:lncRNA from 1 species